rnacentral:lncRNA from 1 species
GUGAUUUGAACUUGAUCGAAUAGUGGACCGUCGGAGCUCGUAUCACACUAUCAUAACCAUCUCGGUAUUAUGUGCUUUUCAAAAUGUUUAAACUAUGGCAUGUAUAGAGUCUUAAUCAUUUUGAGCAUGUCCAAAUGAUAUGGCUAAUGUUAGCUAUUGAAGUAGUUAUUAAUGAAUAUGUUUUGGAGUUAUGUAUGUUUAAAUGGUAACUAAUUCAAAGAAGCAGUUUCUUUGACAGCAGCAGUGACGUGAAUGUGAAAAAUCACCAUAAAUAGUAGAAAUGGAAUUAGAGGGUGAAUGAUAUAUAGAAUUAAAGCUUAUCAAGUCUAUUUUUACAUGAAAGAAACGGUGUAGGCAAAGGAAUUUUAUAUUUUGAGAUAUUUAAAUUUUAGUGAGACAGGGUC